UGUCCUCCUCACAGCACCUGAUAGCGGCCCUGUCCUUCGAGUGGAAGAGCACCUAGAGGGGCGGAGCUUCACCUUGAGAGGCUGAAGGCUCUGGUUGUCAUGGUCGAUACAGCUCUCAUGGUCCUGGGCAUCACCUGUAGAAUAGAAGACCAGAGUGGAGAUCCUUUCAGAGAGUGACACUCAGGACCACCCAUACCUGCAUGUUCUUGCAAACUUGGGAGAUAAUUAUUAACAAGCUUGUGAAGAACUUGGGGACCUGCUGUAGAGGUGAAUCCAUCAGGCUGGAGAAGAAAAACAGCUGAAGAUGUGGAUAGUGACCCUGGAGGACUCCACCACACCAGUUAGGUUUUAUCUGAGCACAUCCAGAUGUCAGAAGUAUUUGUUUUAAUAGUUUUAUUCAGAUCAACUGGAGACUUGAUUCUGGCCUAUGAGUGAACUCAUGAACUUCCCUUGGAGCCAUCAUAUAUCAGCAUCUCUCCCCCCUCACUUGUGGUCUCUCAAUGUUUGUUUUUGGCUUCCUGUCACAAAGGAAGUGCCUCACCCAGCCGCCUGACUCCCCAUUGGUCCCACCUUUAAUGAACGGCACUUUUUUGGGAGGGGGUGAGACAGAUUUACAGAAGCACCAGAGGGUAGAAGAAGGAGCAGAGUCUGGAUCUGCAGACAUGAGGACAUGCUGUGGCUAACAGCAGAUCAGUGCAGAGAAGGCUCCACAUCCAGACAAGCAGCAGAGAGGCAACAUCUGACGGCCCGGCAGGAAAUGGCUUUGUGUUGCACAAGGGCCAGGAUCGUCUCACCACAGGGCCAGGAUGGGUCGGAGCUGGCCGGGAUGCUCCUGAAACUCCUUUAGCUAAUGGUGGGAUUCCAGAAUGCGGUUAAAGCUAAUUUUAGUCUUCUUGAAGCAUUAAAUUUAACUGAAAAUGUCUAUUUAACAUCCCAAAUGCCAGCAAGCAUGGAAAUUAAUUAUUUAUGUUUGACCCUAAGAUGAAUCCAUAUUCCUACCCGAGUCAGCACCGUGCUCCAGCCGGGCCUUGGGCCUACAGCAACACCCCCACAGCCAGCAGCCUCACUAUUAAACCCGGUGAUCACUAUUAUCACCUUUGUGUGGGUUUAUUGCUGCAAGAUCUCAUGUUUUAUUUUGCUUUUAUGUCCUCUACUUUAUGUCGUGUUUUAUUCAGAUUGUGAAACAUUCAUUAUCCUGAAGAUUGCUGCUUAAAUAAAGUUUACUUACUUGUUAAUUCAGGUUGCAGCAGAACUCUUUGUACCCGAAAUGAAAAUAACUCAAAAAUAAAAAUCACGUUUGCCUUGGAA